rnacentral:rRNA from 1 species
UCAAGUGACUAAGUGCACAUGGUGGAUGCCUUGGCGAUCACAGGCGAAGAAGGACGUAAUAGCUUGCGAAAAGCUGCGGGGAGUUGGCAAAUGAGCAUUGAUCCGCAGAUAUCCGAAUGGGGAAACCCACCUCUUUUUAGGAGGUAUCCUUAUCUGAAUACAUAGGGUGAGGAGGCGAACCGAGUGAACUGAAACAUCUAAGUAACUCGAGGAGAAGAAAUCAACCGAGAUUCUGAAAGUAGUGGCGAACGAAAUUGGAUGAGCCGCAACGAGAUAGUAAUUGUAGUAGUCGAACUUACUGGGAAGUGAGACCGUAGAGGGUGAUAGUCCUGUAGACGAAACUAUAGUUAUGGUACUAGGCGUUGCAACAAGUAGGGCGGGACACGUGUAAUCCUGUUCGAAGAUGGGGGGACCAUCCUCCAAGGCUAAAUACUCGUGAUCGACCGAUAGUGAACCAGUACCGUGAGGGAAAGGCGAAAAGAACCCCGGGAGGGGAGUGAAAUAGAACCUGAAACCGUGUGCAUACAAACAGUCGGAGCCCUAGACUUAAGGGUCCUGCAAUUUAGGGGUUCUUUGUGAUGCCUUAAGGCAUCACUAAAGAUAUUCCAAAGUAAAUAGAAUCGAUAUAUUUGAUAAGGAAACUAAAAGAAGUGAGGAAUGCCUUAAGGCAUCACUAAAGAUAUUCCAAAGUAAAUAGCAAGCGAUGUAAUUUACAAAUUUAGUAGGGUCUUUAAGUCUGGGGUGACGGCGUACCUUUUGUAUAAUGGGUCAGCGACUUACAUUCAGUGGCAAGCUUAACCGAAUAGGGUAGGCGUAGCGAAAGCGAGUCCGAAUAGGGCGUCUAUAGUCGCUGGGUGUAGACCCGAAACCAGAUGAUCUAUCCAUGGCCAGGUUGAAGGUGCCGUAACAGGUACUGGAGGACCCAACCCACUAAUGUUGAAAAAUUAGGGGAUGAGCUGUGGAUAGGGGUGAAAGGCUAAACAAAUCUGGAAAUAGCUGGUUCUCUCCGAAAACUAUUUAGGUAGUGCCUCAUGAAUAACUGUUGGGGGUAGAGCACUGUUAUGGCUAGGGGGUCAUGGCGACUUACCAAACCAUGGCAAACUCCGAAUACUGACAAGUUCGAUCAUGGGAGACAGAGCACUGGGUGCUAACGUCCAGACUCAAGAGGGAAACAACCCAGACCGCCAGCUAAGGUCCCUAAAAUUGGCUAAGUGGGAAACGAAGUGGGAAGGCAUAGACAGUCAGGAGGUUGGCUUAGAAGCAGCCACCCUUUAAAGAAAGCGUAAUAGCUCACUGAUCGAGUCGUCCUGCGCGGAAGAUGUAACGGGGCUAAGCCAGUUACCGAAGCUGCGGAUGCAUCCGCUCUUUUAAGUUUUUUGAAAAAAAGGAAUAAAGGUAAGAUUAACCUUAAUUGAAUUUUCAGAAGAUUUGAAAGAGCGGAUGCGUGGUAGGAGAGCGUUCUGUAAGCCAGAGAAGGUGAAUCGAGAGGUUUGCUGGAGGUAUCAGAAGUGCGAAUGCUGACAUGAGUAGCGAUAAAGGGAGUGAAAAGCUCCCUCGCCGUAAGUCCAAGGAUUCCUGCGCAACGUUCAUCGGCGCAGGGUUAGUCGGCCCCUAAGGUGAGGCAGAGAUGCGUAGCUGAUGGGAAGUGGGUUAAUAUUCCUACACCGGCUUGUGAUGUGAAGGGGGGACGGAUUGCGGAAUGUGUACGGGCUGUUGGAUAUGCUCGGUAUUGUAGCCAAGAAGUUGAUUAGGCAAAUCCGGUCAAAGGAUUCAAGGCUAUGAUUCGCAGAAGACUUAAGGUCUUUGAAGUCACAGGAAGUGGUUCCAGGAAAAGCCUCUAAGCGUUAAAUUACAAGUUGACCGUACCGCAAACCGACACAGGUGGACGGGAUGAAUAUUCCAAGGCGCUUGAGAGAACUCAGGAGAAGGAACUCGGCAAAUUGAUACCGUAACUUCGGGAGAAGGUAUGCCUUUGUAUGGUGAGUAGCCAGAAGAGGCCGCAGAGAAUAGGUGGCUGCGACUGUUUAUUAAAAACAUAGCACUCUGCAAACACGAAAGUGGAAGUAUAGGGUGUGACGCCUGCCCGGUGCUGGAAGGUUAAUUGAUGUGGUGAGAGCUAUUGAUCGAAGCCCCAGUAAACGGCGGCCGUAACUAUAACGGUCCUAAGGUAGCGAAAUUCCUUGUCGGGUAAGUUCCGACCUGCACGAAUGGCGUAACGAUGGCCACACUGUCUCCUCCUGAGACUCAGCGAAGUUGAAGUGUUUGUGAUGAUGCAAUCUCCCCGCGGCUAGACGGAAAGACCCCAUGAACCUUUACUGUAGCUUUACAUUGGAUCGUGAACCGGCCUGUGUAGGAUAGGUGGGAGGCGAAGAAGGAGGUACGCUAGUACUUUUGGAGCCGUCCUUGAAAUACCACCCUGGUUUGUUUGUGGUUCUAACCUUGGCCCAUGAUCUGGGUUGGGGACAGUGUAUGGUGGGCAGUUUGACUGGGGCGGUCUCCUCCCAAAGUGUAACGGAGGAGUUCGAAGGUACGCUAGGUACGGUCGGAAAUCGUGCUGAUAGUGCAUUGGCAAAAGCGUGCUUGACUGUGAGACAGACAAGUCGAACAGGUGCGAAAGCAGGACAAAGUGAUCCGGUGGUUCUGAAUGGAAGGGCCAUCGCUCAACGGAUAAAAGGUACUCUGGGGAUAACAGGCUGAUACCGCCCAAGAGUUCAUAUCGACGGCGGUGUUUGGCACCUCGAUGUCGGCUCAUCUCAUCCUGGGGCUGUAGCCGGUCCCAAGGGUAUGGCUGUUCGCCAUUUAAAGAGGUACGUGAGCUGGGUUUAAAACGUCGUGAGACAGUUUGGUCCCUAUCUGCCGUGGGCGUUGGAUACUUGACGGAGGCUGCUCCUAGUACGAGAGGACCGGAGUGGACGUACCGCUGGUGUAUCGGUUGUCAUGCCAAUGGCAUUGCCGAGUAGCUACGUACGGAAGAGAUAACCGCUGAAGGCAUCUAAGCGGGAAACUCGUCUGAAGAUAAGGUAUCCCUGAGCGUAAAGCUCCUUUUAAGGGUCGUUCGAGACUAGAACGUUGAUAGGCUGGGUGUGAAAGUGCAGUAAUGCAUGUAGCUAACCAGUACUAAUUGCCCGAGAGGCUUGAUCCU